rnacentral:rRNA from 1 species
GAUGAACGCUGGCGGCGUGCUUAACACAUGCAAGUCGAACGAUGAAGCCCAGCUUGCUGGGUGGAUUAGUGGCGAACGGGUGAGUAACACGUGAGUAACCUGCCCUUGACUCUGGGAUAAGCCUGGGAAACUGGGUCUAAUACUGGAUAUGACUUCUCAUCGCAUGGUGGGGGGUGGAAAGAUUUAUUGGUCUUGGAUGGACUCGCGGCCUAUCAGCUUGUUGGUGAGGUAAUGGCUCACCAUGGCGACGACGGGUAGCCGGCCUGAGAGGGUGACCGGCCACACUGGGACUGAGACACGGCCCAGACUCCUACGGGAGGCAGCAGUGGGGAAUAUUGCACAAUGGGCGCAAGCCUGAUGCAGCGACGCCGCGUGAGGGAUGACGGCCUUCGGGCUGUAAACCUCUUUCAGUAGGGAAGAAGCGAGAGUGACGGUACCUGCAGAAGAAGCGCCGGCUAACUACGUG